GGCACUUUGGCGGAGUGGUUAACGCGCUGGCCUGCUACUUUCUCAUCGAUCUUAGCUGAACAAAGCCAGUUCCUUCGGGAGCGAGUGUUCGAAUCACUCAGGUGUCG